UACAGAGGGGGCAAGCGUUGUUCGGAAUUACUGGGCGUAAAGGGCGCGUAGGCGGCCUGCUAAGUCGAACGUGAAAUCCCCGGGCUCAACCCGGGAACUGCGUCCGAUACUGGCAGGCUUGAAUCCGGGAGAGGGAUGCGGAAUUCCAGGUGUAGCGGUGAAAUGCGUAGAUAUCUGGAGGGACACCGGUGGCGAAGGCGGCAUCCUGGACCGGCAUUGACGCUGAGGCGCGAAAGCCAGGGGAGCAAACGGG
rnacentral:rRNA from 1 species